AUACAGGAUUAGAGCUCAAUGGGAAAGAAAAAGAUCAAUGGCGUUUAAGGCUUUGUCUGUAUCAAGGAUGUAAAACCCCAAAAUAGGACUAUAUAGUAUAGGUGAUGCUUCUGUGAAAUUAAUCUGGAUGCAAGUUGACUGGUCUACAAUCUGGUCAGCUGCUAUGGAAAUUUCAUCAGCCAAAAUCUUCUUGUAGAUCCAGCCUGCAGUGCCUUUCCGCAAGCCGCGUGCACUGCCCAGCUGUAAGGUCCAGCUGCUCCU